UACGUAGGGUGCGAGCGUUGUCCGGAAUCAUUGGGCGUAAAGCGCGUGUAGGCGGCUCGGUAAGUCUGCUGUGAAAGUCCAGGGCUCAACCCUGGAAAGCCGGUGGAAACUGUCGAGCUAGAGUCCGGAAGAGGCGAGUGGAAUUCCUGGUGUAGCGGUGAAAUGCGCAGAUAUCAGGAGGAACACCAAUGGCGAAGGCAGCUCGCUGGGACGGUACUGACGCUGAGACGCGAAAGCGUGGGGAGCAAACAGG
rnacentral:rRNA from 1 species